rnacentral:rRNA from 1 species
UAAGCGGAGGAAAAGAAACUAACAAGGAUUCCCCUAGUAACGGCGAGUGAAGCGGGAAGAGCUCAAAUUUGUAAUCUGGUGGACUCAGUCCAUCCGAGUUGUAAUCUAUAGAAGUGUUUUCCGCGCCGGACCGUGUCUAAGUCCCUUGGAACAGGGUGUCAGAGAGGGUGAGAAUCCCGUGCUUGAUACGACCACCGGUGCUAUGUGAUACACUUUCAACGAGUCGAGUUGUUUGGGAAUGCAGCUCAAAAUGGGUGGUAAAUUCCAUCUAAAGCUAAAUAUUGGCGAGAGACCGAUAGCGAACAAGUACCGUGAGGGAAAGAUGAAAAGCACUUUGGAAAGAGAGUUAAACAGUACGUGAAAUUGUUGAAAGGGAAACGAUUGAAGUCAGUCGUGCGCGCUGGGACUCAGCCGGUUCUGCCGGUGUACUUCCCAGUGUGCGGGUCAACAUCAGUUUAGAUCGCUGGAUAAGGGCAUUAGGAACGUGGCUCCCUCGGGAGUGUUAUAGCCUAGUGCCGCAUACAGUGGUUCAGACUGAGGAACGCAGCUCGCCUUUAUGGCCGGGGUUCGCCCACGUCCGAGCUUAGGAUGUUGACAUAAUGGCUUUAAACGACCCGUCUUGAAACACG